GUGCCGCCGUGGUUGAGGUCUGGCGCUCUUGAUGUCGCAUAGUGCCUCCACUGCGAGCGGGCGUACAGCCGCCUCACCCUUCUGGGAGAUGCUGGCGCUGUUGGCCCAGCAGCCGGGCGUGGAGUGGCUGAAGCUGAGCCUCGCCGGCGCAGCGGCUCCGGAGGGUGCGAUGCAGCAGCGGGAGGGGAGGAUGGUUCUCCUCAGAAACACUCACUGGGACCUCAGCCUCUGAAGACGUUGCUGUUGUUGGAGUGUUCGGGGGAUACUAGGCUUUGGCAAGCCUACCUGGAGGGGCUGAAGAAGUUUCUUGCCUUUAGGAAGGACAUGGGGAUGCCUGCAGCCUGGCCCAUUCCAGAGGAUCAAGUUAGAGGAUUUCUAGCUGUGGAGUCUCUUUACUCGUGCUCAAAAACAUUGACGUAUGUGGCAGCGUUGUCUUACUUAUCAAGACUGUCUGGUAACCCUGACCCUCUGGAAGAUGCUAUAACCCGUUGUAUGGUAAUGGGGUUGAGACGUCAAGUGGGCAUCCUGAGGGAAAAAUACACUCCUAUAACAAUUGAGGUGCUACGAUCUCUCUUAGGAGCACUGGAAUCUGUGUGUGUAUCCCAUUAUGAAUGCUUACUGUUCCGUGCAUUGUUCACCGUGGCUCUUUUUGGGGCACUUCGAAUAGGAGAGAUGGUGGCAAAGCACCGUAAUGUACUGCAGCCUGAACUGCUGUACUUGAGGGAUGUGCGGGUGACAGAAAGCAGGGUGGCGUUUCACCUGCAUAACUGUCCUGUCGGCCAGGAGAGACCCAUCAUCAGCCUUGCUCUGUCAGGAGAGCCGUGGGUGUGCCCUGUCCUGGCCCUCCGGAGCUAUGUCGCUGUGCGUUCAAGACUGGAAGGGCCGCUCUUCGUGCACGGGGACGAUGUGCCUGUAACAAAGAGGGGGUUUCUGACUGUUCUCAGGUGGGCCCUUAGGCUGCUGGGGCUGCCCCCGGAGCAGUACGGCGUGCACUCCUUCUGGCUGGGGACUAUCAUCACUGCUGCACGCUGUGGAUAUCCCAGGGAAGAUAUCACUCGCCUGGUGAGGUGGCCAUGUGUGUUCCCAGAGAAGUCAUAGCUAUGGAGACAGUGGGCAAAAGAAGCUAGUGGUUUCUUUCUGUAGUUUUAACAACACACACAGUUUAUAGUCCUUGGCAGUAAUUUAACAUUACCAUCUGUAAUGAAUGUUCUACCUCACUGUGGAUAUAAUCUAUGAAGUUCACUUGCAUUUGUUUUCACCCUCUGUACUGUUGAGGGUGGGGGACUGUCAAACUUGCUGUGCCCGCAGAUGCUUUUAUCUUGUAUGACUUCAGUUAAUAAAUGCUUCCUUUU
rnacentral:lncRNA from 7 species